rnacentral:tRNA from 1 species
AGCUCAGUGGUCCAAUGGUAAAGCGCUCAUCGAGGAGCCAGAGGGUCCUGGGUUCAAUUCCCAACGGGGUCA